AGUGAACGCUGGCGGUAGGCCUAACACAUGCAAGUCGAACGGCAGCACAGUAAGAGCUUGCUCUUACGGGUGGCGAGUGGCGGACGGGUGAGGAAUACAUCGGAAUCUACUUUUUCGUGGGGGAUAACGUAGGGAAACUUACGCUAAUACCGCAUACGACCUACGGGUGAAAGCAGGGGAUCUUCGGACCUUGCGCGAUUGAAUGAGCCGAUGUCGGAUUAGCUAGUUGGCGGGGUAAAGGCCCACCAAGGCGACGAUCCGUAGCUGGUCUGAGAGGAUGAUCAGCCACACUGGAACUGAGACACGGUCCAGACUCCUACGGGAGGCAGCAGUGGGGAAUAUUGGACAAUGGGCGCAAGCCUGAUCCAGCCAUACCGCGUGGGUGAAAAAGGCCUUCGGGUUGUAAAGCCCUUUUGUUGGGAAAGAAAAGCAGCAGGUUAAUACCCCGCUGUUCUGACGGUACCCAAAGAAUAAGCACCGGCUAACUUCGU
rnacentral:rRNA from 1 species